AUCGGAGAUUCUCAAACCUUUGUGCCAAAGGUUUGGCCUCGACCAAUUUUUCAGAACGCUCUUAUAGAGGCUGCAAAACACAGUGGUGGGGACACGUGGAUCUUAUUGCGAGGGAAAGAAAAAUGUGUGUCGGCCCUGGUUUUGGAGGCAAUUGAUGAUUACACAUAUCUACAAAAUCAACAUCUCAGUGACAAUGACAAAACGAAUGCAAAUAAUUUACCAGUAAAAGCAAUAAGACUGAACUUUGGAGACGAUGUGAAAGAGAGUAACUUGAAUCGUACAGGAACCCCAAUGAAACGUUGC